UAAUGUGUUGUAGUCCUAUGCUGACUAUGAGAGUAACCCGCUGCUGAGGCAGGGAAUAGAGUUCUGCGUCAGACAGUUCUACAUCCUGCACCGUAAACCCUUCAUCCUCCAGCUGUUUGCCAGCGUGGCCCCACUGCUGGAGUUCACAACGUGCACCAGUACAGGCCUGUCUAAGGGGGUGUCUGCUCAGUGCCUGUUUGACCUGCUGGUCUCUCUGGAGGGAGAGACGCGUGAUACCCUGGAUGCCCUGGAGCUGGUCAAGGCUGAAAAACCCCUACGAUCCCUGGACUUCUGCUAUGGUAGUGAGGACCUGGCCUUCUCCAUCAGUGAGUCCAUCAAGCUGUGUGU